AAUGCUAGGGGCGCAAGGGAUCUUGGUAGAUGUAAUGUAUUUGGCGCGUUUUGUAAAACAGGAAGCAGCGAAGCAAGGAAUCGAUGCCAGAACUGUUUUUCAAGCAAGCUAUAACAACAGACAAAAUGCCAGAUGGUCUAUGGAUAUCUUCAUUGCCAAUGGACAGUCAAGUAAGAAGGAGAAAAAAAGAGAGAAAAAGACGAAAAGACUUUAGAGGGCAGGGUACAGUCCAGAUCAAGACACCACAUCAAAGGGAUAAGACUAAAUAGAAAUGGAAAUAGAGGGAAAAAGAAUAAGAAGACAACA